UCGAACGAGGUGCUUUUUGUAGCAAUACGAGAAGUAUCCUAGUGGCGAACGGGUGAGUAACGCGUGGGUGACCUGCCCCAAAGUGUGGGAUAACAGAUCGAAAGAUUUGCUAAUACCGCAUGUGGUCUUCAAGUUUGGAAGUUGAUGACUAAAGCAGCAAUGCGCUUUGGGAGGGACCUGCGUCCCAUCAGCUAGUUGGUGAGGUAAUGGCUCACCAAGGCGACGACGGGUAGGGGACCUGAGAGGGUGGCCCCCCACAAUGGAACUGAAACACGGUCCAUACACCUACGGGUGGCAGCAGUAGGGAAUAUUGCACAAUGGGCGAAAGCCUGAUGCAGCAACGCCGCGUGAGCGAUGAAGGCCUUCGGGUCGUAAAGCUCUUUUCUGAGAGACGAGAUAGGACGGUAUCUCAGGAAUAAGUCUCGGCUAACUACGUGCCAGCAGCCGCGGUAAAACGUAGGAGGCGAGCGUUAUCCGGAUUCACUGGGCGUAAAGCGCGUGCAGGCGGUUCGGUAAGUUGGGCGUGAAAUCUCUUGGCUUAACUAGGAGAGGUCGUUCAAUACUACCGGACUUGAGAGUGAUAGAGGAAAAUGGAAUUCCAGGUGUAGUGGUGAAAUGCGUAGAUAUCUGGAGGAACACCAGUGGCGAAAGCGAUUUUCUGGAUCAUUUCUGACGCUCAGACGCGAAAGCUAGGGUAGUAAACGGGAUUAGAGACCCCGGUAAUCCUAGCCGUAAACGAUGUUAACUUGGCGUCGGUGGAUUAAACCCCAUCGGUGCCGUAGCAAACGCGAUAAGUUAACCGCCUGGGGACUACGAUCGCAAGAUUAAAACU
rnacentral:rRNA from 1 species